rnacentral:rRNA from 1 species
GAUGAACGCUGGCGGCGUGCCUAAUACAUGCAAGUCGAGCGAACGGACGAGAAGCUUGCUUCUCUGAUGUUAGCGGCGGACGGGUGAGUAACACGUGGAUAACCUACCUAUAAGACUGGGAUAACUUCGGGAAACCGGAGCUAAUACCGGAUAAUAUUUUGAACCGCAUGGUUCAAAAGUGAAAGACGGUCUUGCUGUCACUUAUAGAUGGAUCCGCGCUGCAUUAGCUAGUUGGUAAGGUAACGGCUUACCAAGGCAACGAUGCAUAGCCGACCUGAGAGGGUGAUCGGCCACACUGGAACUGAGACACGGUCCAGACUCCUACGGGAGGCAGCAGUAGGGAAUCGUCCGUAAUGGGCGAAAGCCUGACGGAGCAACGCCGCGUGAGUGAUGAAGGUCUUCGGAUCGUAAAACUCUGUUAUUAGGGAAGAACAUAUGUGUAAGUAACUGUGCACAUCUUGACGGUACCUAAUCAGAAAGCCACGGCUAACUACG